UCCGAAAUUGAGCUCCGUUGGGAGAAUGUUCAACUGAAACUCUAAAGGUCCCUGGUUCGAUUCCGGGUUUCGGCA